ACAGGGAUUGCCUUAGUAACGGCGAGUGAAGCGGCAAAAGCUCAAAUUUGAAAUCUGGCACCUUCGGUGUCCGAGUUGUAAUUUGAAGAAGGUAACUUUGGAGUUGGCUCUUGUCUAUGUUCCUUGGAACAGGACGUCACAGAGGGUGAGAAUCCCGUGCGAUGAGAUGCCCAAUUCUAUGUAAAGUGCUUUCGAAGAGUCGAGUUGUUUGGGAAUGCAGCUCUAAGUGGGUGGUAAAUUCCAUCUAAAGCUAAAUAUUGGCGAGAGACCGAUAGCGAACAAGUACAGUGAUGGAAAGAUGAAAAGAACUUUGAAAAGAGAGUGAAAAAGUACGUGAAAUUGUUGAAAGGGAAGGGCUUGAGAUCAGACUUGGUAUUUUGCGAUCCUUUCCUUCUUGGUUGGGUUCCUCGCAGCUUACUGGGCCAGCAUCGGUUUGGAUGGUAGGAUAAUGACUAAGGAAUGUGGCUCUACUUCGGUGGAGUGUUAUAGCCUUGGUUGAUACUGCCUGUCUAGACCGAGGACUGCGUCUUUUGACUAGGAUGUUGGCAUAAUGAUCUUAAG
rnacentral:rRNA from 1 species